rnacentral:rRNA from 1 species
AGAGUUUGAUCCUGGCUCAGAGCGAACGCUAGCGGCGUGCCUAACACAUGCAAGUUGAGCGAGAAAGAGGGGGCAACUCCUUGAGUAAAGCAGCGAACGGGUGAGUAACGCGUGGGUAAUCUACCCAUAAGACUGGAAUAACCUUCCGAAAGGAGGGCUAAUACUGGAUAAGACCACGUUAUUUUAAGUAAUGUGGUUAAAGAUGGGGCUUCUUCGGGACCUAUCACUUAUGGAUGAGCCCGCGUCCCAUCAGCUAGUUGGUAGGGUAAUGGCCUACCAAGGCUAAGACGGGUAGCUGGUCUGAGAGGACGAUCAGCCACACUGGCACUGAAACACGGGCCAGACUCCUACGGGAGGCAGCAGUGGGGAAUAUUGCGCAAUGGGCGAAAGCCUGACGCAGCGACGCCGCGUGAGGGAAGAAGGUCUUCGGGUCGUAAACCUCUGUCGGGGGGAAAGAAACUUCUGGAGGUUAAUACCCUUCAGAAUUGACGGUACCCCCAAAGGAAGCAUCGGCUAACUACGUGCCAGCAGCCGCGGUAAUACGUAGGAUGCAAGCGUUGCUCGGAAUUAUUGGGCGUAAAGGGCGUGUAGGUGGUCCUGUAAGUCAGAUGUGAAAUCCCYUGGCUUAACCGGGGAAUUGCAUUUGAAACUGUGGGACUUGAGUACGGGAGAGGGGAGUGGAAUUCCUGGUGUAGCGGUGAAAUGCGUAGAUAUCAGGAAGAACACCUGUGGCGAAGGCGAUUCUCUGGACCGAUACUGACACUGAGGCGCGAAAGCGUGGGUAGCAAACAGGAUUAGAUACCCUGGUAGUCC